GGUGACAAAACUCUGUAAACCACCCUCUGCUUCCAACAGAGGCCAAUACCUCUGACAUAUUUAAAGACUCUGUGCAAAGGAAAUAAGUCAACAGAAUAUAUUUGAUUUAAGCUAUAGACUCCCUCAGGAUAUCAGAACAGACCCUCUGUCUGCUGAGGGAGCUGUUUGACUAAUGCCAGCUCUUGUGAGAUGCUCUCCAACCUUUAAAUGUGUCAGGAAUGCUCAGAAGACAUACUAUUCUGAUUAGUAGCUUUGAAAUCACAACUGAAGCUUGACAUAAACACCAUCAUCCACAGCAUGUGUCUCUGAUUUCAACUGAAAGUCUCAGUCACAGCUGGCCACAUGCCACAAAGGGGAAGGGAAUGAUUUCCUAGGAACUCCUCCUUCAAGACAUGGCACAUCUUGUCUUGAAUAGAUGACAGCUGAUGAAGGUUUUCCAAGAAAAACCUGCAGGUUUACUGUCAAAUCUUUGUAGAACAGUAUCACAGAGACCUCCAGAGCAGAGAAGACCUUCAGUCCUCAAAUAAAGAGCAUGAUUUCUUAUACAAAUUUCCUUUUAGAGAGUAUGUUUCACAAGUUGUUUGUCAAUGCCUGUGAUAAUCCAGGCAGCUAAUUUACCCCAAGCUUCCCAAUAACUGAAGCCAUAUGUUUUGCUUUGAUACAGAUUCUAUCAAAAUAAAAGAUUUGGCAGGAAACAUAACUGUAGCCAGUAUUUACUGUUCAUUAGAGAACAGCAAAAAGUUAGAGGUUUUAGUAUGUGUAUUCACUUUGGGAUGAUCUGCUAGAGAAGUAAGUACUGGUGGGCUCCAUAUAGCUCAUGUUAUUAUUCCUGGCACAAAACCUCCAGGACAUAAAACACCUUCGUGCUUCCCUGAUGCACGUGCCUUAGAAGCACAUGUUCUCAUACUUCCUCCUUCCCCUCUUCCUCUUGUGCCUUUAUCACCUUUAGCUCUCAAAUAAGACAUCUUUUUCAUUCCUAUCCCACUCAAAUAACUUCUCCACUUCUUUCCUGUUCUGUAAACCCUUCUGCUGUCACUACCAAGGUCUUCUGUUCUUCUCUCAGAUUUCAAGAUAGACUAUAUAGACUUCCUCUUAUUCCUGUAUUUCAAACCUCUGCAAUCUCAGUGCCAUUUGCAGUAUCCAGUCACCUUAGUAAGACUCAGUGGUUUAUGCCCAGCUUUUUUUUUUUGCAGUCAUCAUAAAAGCUGAAUUUUAGGAGAUGAUAGACUAACAGCUCAACAGAAAAUCAUGUUCUAUUCCUCAAUGUCAAUGCAUCACAGCAAGCUCUCCUUGCAUGCUGGGGUGCCAAAUCAUCAUCCUCAGAGUACUGUUACCUGUAAGCACAUUAGGAAUGCGCAACUUUGAGAGGGGUAGAGGAUGGAGGUUCAUUAAAAGCUUCUGUGAUGCCCAGAACAGAAGUAACAAUCAUCAAGCUUUGUUUUGUAGCCAUCCCUUCAGUCUCCCUAUAAUGGCAAUGCAAAAUUCAGUUGCCACCAGUAAAGCCACAAAAAUUCUUGCCUUAAAGCCACAUAAUAAUGCAAAUUCUCAGCUGACUCAUGAACUGCAUCAAUCACACUCACUGCAAAGUGUACAUCAGCCACUACUGUCUUGGUGGACCUGGCCUGACUGUGAAGUUUGUGAUCAGAUAAGAUCAGCUGAGCAGCCUGUGAUGUCAUCUGUGCUGGGAAUAUUCAUCCCAACAAAUCAUCCCUGUGGUAUCACACCUUUCUCUAGAUCUCUAUAAAUAUUUCUCCCUGAAAUUUUCUAUUUGCUAUAUGGAUGCAAGUCCAUGUGCAUCCACAGCUGGGGUAACUAAGACCUUAACUCCCAUCACCUGUUUGCAUUCUCAUCCUGAAGAAUGCAAGGCUUUCCUUCAAAUGCCUCCUACACUGUUGCACACAACAUAGGUCUGUGUGGCUGCCAGUGCCCACAGGUAUUCCUUAGCGAUGUGGCAGGAGACAACAGAACAACUGGCUUCUUGACAAGGGAGAGGUGGCCUGCCAACUGCUACCCAUUGACUGGAGUGUGUUCUUGGCUCUGGGAGGCAAGCACUGCUGCAGUAUGCUCUCCCUGGAGAAAUCCCUCCUCAGGAAUCAUGACUACUGGUGAAACGUUCCCAGAUCUCACUGCACUUCUGAAGCAUGGAAGUUGAAUAUCAGGGGAACCAGCAGAAUAGAAAAUGUGUUGUGACUUGAUGGGACAAAUGCUUCACCAGCCCAGCAGCAAAGUCAGGAGUCUGUGUAUUGGAGCACCAGCCUUGUGCCCAAACCACUGAAACCCACUUCCUCCUCCUCAAAGAGUUAUUUCCUGGCUGUCCUUACCUGAGGUGUGGUCAAGGCCUGUGUGCUCCACACAGCACCUCAAAAAAGCCUCAAAAAAGCAAACUAAACCAGAAAAAGACAGACUGACCAUGCCCUCUAAGGGCUCUGCUGGGCCUCUGCUGGACCUGGGGCAGCUGACCUUAAAGGGAAGCACAACUGACAGUCCUUUGUCACUCAUCACUUUCAACAGCAGUUGUUCCCAGCCAUGUGUGGCCCUCCAGAGGGGCAUCAAGAUGUGCCUCAACCAGCAAAGCUCUGUGUUGACCUUGACGGGCCCCACUGCCCAGUAGCAUGGCCAGGGGUGUAGCACCUGCAAUGCUCCACACGCCCAAGGAGGACAUCCCAGUCCCUGCCCAGGAGCGGCGAACGCAAGCCCACAGGCAAGGGUGGGAGUAGGAGUGUCCACAUACCCCCAGUGAGGAUGAAAAUAAAGCUGUUCAAUUUGGAGCUGCUUGGAUCACGCUCCACAGAGCCCAGGAAAUUACAGAGCCAGCAUGUGGUGGAGGGACUGGGCUCUGAGAAGUAAACACUAGGAAGCUAAAUGGUCACCAGAGGAGAGCAAGCACCUCCUGGAAGUGAGGAUUUGCCUCUUUGUGGAGACAGCUGGGCAAUUUCAUCUCUGAUAGACAUGCGGAGAUAAUGGAGGGAGAGGCCCACUUGGAAGGCCAUUUACAGCUGACCUUACAACAUGGUUGUCCCCUGCAUUUUGUCCUCUGGGGUGUGGAUAGAGCCUCCACAUAGUACAGGGAACUGAAAGAAAAGCCUUUGACAAACUGCCUGUGAGCCCAAAACAGAAGCCUUUGUGAGAACGGUCCAAGGACACAAGCCACAGUGGAUUUUGGUGGCUGCCAAAUCAGCUAUUGUCCUUUUCUCAGGAAUGCAGAUUGGGAUUUUCUUAGGUAAUGCACAACGGGACACUAAACAGUUGAGUGAUGAGGACAGGACAAGACUGGACUGAAUCCUCCUCACCCACUGGUGAGCCAGUGAAAAGUCACCCUCUUCUCCAAGCUGCCCUCUCACACCUCCAAGCUGCCUUUUUCUAGUGGCGUUACAGGCUUUCUUUUUUUUUCCUUGCCAGGCAGUAGAUUUUGUUCCAUAACCCAUCUCCAUUUUUCGAGCACAGCAGGAACUGUACUUGGAGCGAUGGUCCAAAGAAGGGACACCACUUCUCAACCCUUUUUUCCUACACAGUUUUAUAAAGGUAAUCCAGUUACCACUAUCAGUAAUCUCCACUGACAGUUACAGUCUGGAGAACUUGGACAGAUUUCCCCUCUCUUCUCUCUAGGCUCCAGUUCUAGCUCCUUUUGAUAAUCUUCCCCAAAGCUGUUAGAACAAAUGAUUCCAGCUUCGUCUACAUUCUCUCAUAUUAAAUGAGCUAAUUUGUGUGUUGUGGAGUCACUGAAUAGAUUAAACAAAGCCACCCAGCUGGAUAUACUGUGCAGUAUUCCAGGUUUCUCAGGCCAACCAUUUCUGGAAAAUAAUUCACAAGGAUUUGGACUGAGACCUGGAUUAACUGAAUUAAGAUAAUUCUUCCUCCCAAGAGCCGGCUGGGAUGUUUCCUUUUCUCUCCAAGUAUAGGAAAAGAGAGUGUUAGAAAAUGUAAGAAAACUGACUUUAGAUAUAUUACACAGAGGGAAGGGCAACAGACAGAGAAUAGCUUCUACUUGCUCCUCUCUACACCUUCUUUGGACAUAGCUCUAAGAGAACAGUUAACAGCAUUAACCUCAGCUAAGUGGGUAGUACACUCAACAAUGCUCAGUGGAUAGCAGACUUCAAAUUCCCACAUUUCUAACAGCCAUGAGCAGUGCAAAGAAAAGCACAAUCAAUCUCAAGAGAUGAGGUCUCCUGUUACACUAGUGUACUUGAUGCAACAACCU